rnacentral:tRNA from 1 species
GGGGCUCGGAUGUGACCGCUGCUAACGGUUGUUGGAGAUGUUAUAUGUCUCGGUUCCUUA